GUCCGUUCUUAACCUGAAACUGUUCUUAACCUGAAGCACCACUUUAGCUAAUGGGGCCUCCCACUGCUGCUGCACUGCACUGAAACUGUUUUCAUCCUGAAGCAAAGUUCUUAACCCGAGGUACUAUUUCUGGGUUAGCGGAGUCUGUAACCUGAAGCGUAUGUAACCCGAGGUACCACAAUAUUUUUUAACAGCCUCUAACUAAAUAACUGCAUAAUAACUUUCCUUUUUUCACAGAGUAAUGCAGUUGAUUAAAGGCCAGACUGGACAUGACCUAAUUCAUGCAGCUAGCAAUUGUAUGGAAUGGUUUAGCAAACAGGUAAAAUGUGUGUUGUGUCAGUCUAGAUUGGGACCAUGGCAGAAGCAAAAGAUUAAAUUCAGUUUCCCACCCUCAUGAGUCUUACCCAGAUCUGCAGUGAGCUGGAGCCCUCCUGCUAUUUAUUUAUUUUUUAAUAUUCACACAAUUGUUAAUGGCAUGGAAUAUAUCACAUCUUGCUUAAUCCUUAGGAUGAAAGCUUUCUAGCCCUAAAUUCCAUUGUUUCCAUUUUGUCUGCUCACAGUUCUUCCCAAUGCUGUUACAUUUCAGUAAGCUUCCUCAUCCAGACUAAGUCUGUUCCAAAUUGUCUUACAUUAAGUGAGCACGCGGGGCACUACCUUUAAAUAAGUGCCUUUAAAUCAUCUCUAUCUGUUCAUAAGAAAAGAACUAGACAUGCCAUAUCUUGAAACAGUAUGCAUUGUCACUUUGAUCUUUGUGUUUGAAAGCCGCUUGGUUUCCAGUGCUAACUAAAUCUGACUUGAUGCCCUGCCAGAUUUGGAGAAGUAGGAGCUCAGAAAGAGUGUUUUCACGUGUGAAGCUUAAGAGCGGCUCUUGCUUCAAUCAGUUCAAUAAUGCAAAUAUAAUGCCCCUUCUGCAUUGCAAAUACAUCUCCUCUGUGUUCUCUGCCACAUGGUUAAUAUAAAUAGCGUGAGAGAAGCUUGGAAAUUUAAACUUCAGAUGUGAAGGCACCCGACAUGUGUUGCUCAUGCGUUAAAGGAGCGUGAGUAGCAAAGGUGUGGCUAUUGCUUAAAAUGCAGUGUCCCUUAUUUGGUUAAUUAAAAUAUUCCUAGGCAAAAUUUUUGAGUACUGCGUUUCCAGAAAACAUCAGCGAUGCAAAAUAUAAAUUCAAAGUCAUUUCUACAAUUAGGUAAAGGUAAAGGGACCCCUGACCAUUAGGUCCAGUCGUGGCCGACUCUGGGGUUGCGGCGCUCAUCUCGCUUUACUGGCCGAGGAAGCCGGCAUAUAGCUUCCAGGUCAUGUGGCCAGCAUGACUAAGCUGCUUCUGGCAAACCAGAGCAGCGCACAGAAAUGCUGUUUACCUUCCCACCGGAGCGGUACUUAUUUAUCUACUUGCAUUUUGACUUGCUUUCGAGCUGCUAGGCUGGCAGGAGCAGGGACCGAGCAACGGGAGCUCACCCCAUCAUGGGGAUUCGAACCGGCCACCUUCUGAUCAGCAAGUCCUAGGCUCUGUGGUAUAACCCACAGCGCCACCCACGUCCCCCACAGUGCCACUCCAGAACUAAAAGCCAGUUAUAAUAACAACCUUCCAGCGUAGAACAACCUUCCAGCGUAGAAUAUAAAACUUAGUUUCCCAAUUCAUCCAUUUCAUAGUGCAGUACACACACACACAAUACAUAAUUUGCCUGAAACAAGUCUUCAAAGCCUUUCCAAAGGACUGGAGUGUGAUGAUCUUCUUGAGGUUGACAGACAACAAAUUCCAGAGUCAUGAUGCCACCACUAAAAAGGUCUUCUUCUAUGUGCCUACCAAGUUCACUAGCCUACAGGCAAAAUGAGCAUAGUCUCCAUUAAAGAUCUUAUGUGCGGGCAGGUUGAUAUGGGUGCAAAAAUACUUGGGCCCAAGCCCUUUAGGUUAAAGGUUUAAGAUUAGGUGGAAGGCUGAAACUAGCACUUUAAAUUUUGCUCAGAAAUGUGUAAGUAAACAGUGCAACUGGUAUAAUGAAGGUGUUAUGUGGUCACCCUGGUGGUCGGAGUUUAAACCAGCUGAAGUUCCUGAGGUGUCUUUCAAAAGAGCCCCACGUAGAGCACAUUACAGCAAAGUGUAGACAUGGCCAGUGCAUAGAUAAGUGUGGCUAGGUCUCGCUAUUACUAACCUCAUAGUGCAGAUUGGAUGGGUGGGGACUGAGGUAAUAGUUGUUUGCCUAAGACCAUCUAUUAGGUUUGUGGCUGAAGUGAAAUUCAAACCAGGGACUCUCCAGCUUACACACUGAGUGACUACAUAGCACUAGCUCUAUAUACAUUACAAAAGUACCUGUUAGUCAAUACCUCUUUACAAUCUCCCUAUCUCACAUAUACUCUUGUAUCUGUCCCCAACCUGUUGUAAUUUCUAUAGGACUUACAAUAUUAAUUUUGGUCAUUUUCAUUGUACACAGGUUGUACAUUGACAAUAAAGGUCGUCGUCUUCUUCUUCUUCUUCUUCUUCUUCUUCUUCUUCUUCUUCAACAGUGCUGGGAUUCAUGUUUUCUUUUAAAUAUCAUUUAUGCCUCUUUUUUAAAAAGUGCAUGCAAACUCACGAACUGAGCCAUGUACAAAACCACUUCCCUAUGUUAAUCCAGCAUUUUCCUUUUAAUGCGAACUCAGCUCUCCCUUACCACAAACAAGCCUUCUGGGCAUAUGAAGUAUAUUUCUUUGGCAGCAGCCUGGUUCUUUCCAGCCCUGCCUAACUCUAGUUGCCCUUUGGGUGUGUUGCUCUGAGCUUCUCCCUCACAUUUUAAGUCCGUGGUGUUUACGGCUUGUAAAAGGGAUGUAGAGCUGGUCUGCUAUUAAGUCGUCCAGGUUCCACCGCAGGUAAUUGGUGGGGGUUUCUGAAAGCCGGAGUCAAUAAAAUGACUCCCCACCACAAAAGUGAAUGUCUCGUGAAAUGUUUGAUUUGCCUAGCACUGUCUCUUUUCUGUCUAUGAGGAAUCGCAAAAAAAAUGCUGUUUUUGAGUUAUUUUUAUGGAAAAUUGGCCAAAGCAGCACUGCCAACAUGGGCUGCCAUACGUUCGGUUUCCCCCGGACAUUUCACAAAUUUCUACCCAGACACUGCUGCCAACUGCAGUAUUCCAGCUAUGGCAACCCUACCAAACAUGUUCGUUCAUGUCCUCUGUGUACUAUGAGAUGAUGGUGAUUAAAUAUUCAAAAUCACGUCCUUAAAACACUAAUCUGGAAGAUGAUUUGAAAGUGUCACUGCAGCCAUAUAUUCUGGGCAGAAACAGUAUUGGGGAACCUUCUGCUGACUCUACCAACUUCCAGGUCAUGCCUGAAAAAAAAGCACUAUAUAUAUAUGUCAGGGAACUGCCAUCGGAGCUGGAAGCGGAGGGAAGGCUCCAAAGGGAUGGUGGAGAGGGUCCCAGUAGGGAGAGAGGGAGCCCGUCUGCUGGGGAAGGAAAUCAGCGUAACACCGGUAGAGAAGGGGGGCAGAUGGGGGAAUCGGAGAGGAGGCUCCAAGACUCCUCGCCGGCGACCAGCGGAGAGAGUACGGGUACUCCACUGCCCACACCCUCCCUGCGCAGAAGACUUCCACGCAGGGAGAGUAGGAGGAGACUUGGCAUCAAGGAACUUUUGUGCUGGAAGAAGUUUAAGAAACGCCCACUGACGGAUUCUGCCAGCGACUGAGACAGUCACGAUGCUGGAGGCUGUUCAGUCAGAAAGGGUUAACCAGGUAACCUAGCCAGGAGUGGCGGCAACUUACGCACGAGCAACCCCUAAACCCAUUAAUAUAUAUAUAUAUAUAUAUAUAUAUAUAUAUAUAUAUAUUCAUUGAAGAGUACUACUCUAAGAUCAGACCAAUGCCUUGGAUUUUAGAACAGGCUCAGGCUAUUUAUGGUUCUUUAUCUUGAAACCAGAUUUGGAUUAGAAAGCCUUUCAAAGAUAGGAUUCACCUUUGACAGUCUAUCAAAUGAAAAAUCUCUCUGCUCCAUUAUUACAGUUUGGGUGUGGGGAAUCUGAAUCAGUUUGUAUUUAAAAAUGAACCUGGCUAAUUUUUACUUUCCAAAACAACACAAAGCUAGCCUUCAAAAUUUGCAGUUUUCCAGAUUUUGCAAUGAAAUUCUCCAGCCAAUGAAUGCAUACAAAACUGCAUAUACUGCAGUAAUAUAUCAAUGAAAAUGCAUGUAUUAAAAAUGCAUUGCAUUCAGAAAAAAUGCUUUGUGAAAAUGGGUCUAUUAGGAGAAAUUGCAUACAAACAUGUGCAUAUUAGGAGGAAUUUGCUGAUGUAUUUUCAUGAGGCAUUAAAAAUAAACAAAUCACAAAUUGUUGUGGAAAUGUGGAAAACUAAAUUUAAGAUUGGAAAAACGAGACACCAAGAAACUGAAAUGGGAUCCCUAAUGCAGGCAUGGUGCUUUGCAGAGUUCUAACCGUCACAGCCAACCACGAGCAAAAUGGGAUUUUAAUACAGAAACAUCUUUCAGCAUAAAAGUAAAGCUGCUAAAGCUUCUGCUCACGUUAUCUGCAGACCAACAAACAUGCUGCUUAUUCUGGAGUAACACUAGACAGAAAUGGAAAGGAUACAGAAUGAAAAAUCCAAGAGUGGCGUCUUGCUCCAGCCUGUAAUACUAAGAGAUUCUAAAUCUAAACCCCCUUAAUAGACAGAUUACUUGCUGUCUUUAUUCCCAAAGAUCCCACUAAUACUUCUUCAGCUUCACGGAUCAGUGCUGAAUGAAGCUGCUAUGGCACAUAAAGUGGGUUUCAUCCCUUUAAAAACCAAACAAGAGUUCAUAAAAAUAUGGCUGUUUUGUUCAAAUGGUCGAAACAGCAUCCUAUAUUUGGGAGCAGUAUCAGGAACAUUCAUAACCAGAUAAGGGUCUUUGGCUGGGGCCUGGAAAAUGGCAAAAAGCAUAGCGUAGGCAGAUGGGGGAGAGAGAAGCUCAUAGAGCUGUGGUGGGCAGAAGAUAAGGCCCACAGAGAGAUAAAUUGACUGGAGACUGACGCCAUGAUGGUCCUCAUUGCCACCAGCAGUCUAAAAUUGAACUGGGUUUCCAUUUUUAUUUCCACUGUAGUGCAAAGAAAGCAAGGCAAGAGAUUUCUGGUUGGAGAAGAUUUGGGGACUCUACUCUGCCCUCUGCUGCAAACAUUCAACUUCCACAAUCACGGAAAAAGUGACAUCAACAAAAAUGACCACAUAAUGUUGAGAAUGCCAGGAGAGAUGAAAUUGGCACCACAUUUCCAAUGUAAGUGUCACCAGCUCAGUGUCAAAAUAUACAAGCUAGGACCGCAAGCUAGAGUGCUUAAUCUUAUUAGUUUCAGUGAGCUUCACCACGUUUAACUUUGUGUCAGACUGUGGCUAACAUAUCCAUUGCACUGAUGUGUCAGAGUCCCAGCUACUUACUAGGGAGAGGUAGUUGAAAAAUGGUGGCAUCUCUCCCCACCCUCAUCUUCUGAAUAUCUGCUGACUCCCCUAAAUCACUGAGCAUUUCUUUAUUUAUCUCCAGAUCAGCAUAAUCCUAAGGAAAUCCCACAUGCACCCAUCCAAAUAGCUGCUGUUCAUCUGAGCAUUGUUGUACCGCACAAUUUUUAAGGGGUUCUCUUGGGAUUCCAAAUUCAUGUGCCAAAAAAUAAGCACAUGAAACUGAGAGACUGGCAGGAAUGUAGAAAGAUGAAAGGUAAUCACCCAGUCUGGAAUUCUGACUUAAGGAGAGAAGACCCUCUAUUCCUCCAGCUUUCAGAAAUGACAUCUUUCCAGCCUUUUCAUGAAAACUUCCAAGGGAGAAGACCUACAGCCUACCAGGGCACCUUUCCCCAACAAUUACUUUCUGGUAAUUUUAACUUGUAAACCACCUGUUUUGGAAACCCCUGUGCUUGGGGAAAUUGACUAUCAUACCUUCCCCCAAAGAGCCACAAGAAUGGCAAUUUGAUGAGCGUCUGAUCUGUUGAAGAUCUUUGCCCCAGUUUCCCCUGGGAAUAGGACUGUCUUUAUAGGGAGAAAGUUCUGGCACAGGCCAAGCCGCUGGAAGAGAAGGGGUCUGCAGAAGAUAGGGUGGGGAUAUUCUUGGAAUGCAAAAACAGUAACAUUGUUCAGUGAACAUGGGGGAAAAAAAAUCUCAAUACAGAUGUUUUCUUUAAAAAAAUUGGGGAACAUCUGGCAAUGGUAAACAAACAUCUUGACAAUAUGUGCUCUCAAAGAAAACAGCAGCCAAAUGACCUAGGACCUUUACAGAUGAUUUAACAAACCAGAUUUCUCUUUCGCCGCUCUCUUCUUGCUAGACCAAAUCCAGUGCUAGUAGCUCAAAAUCUCAUAUCUGCAUAUUAGAAGGAGGUGAGUAGCCUUAUGGUGGGAUACAGCUGUGCUCAUGUUCGCCAUGUUCAGCGUUUAAAAAGAGGGGUGACGUGUGGUCAAGUGCCAGAGAUGGGGAGCACACAGUUAUGAAAGAUCCGCAGCUAUAAUUUCAAAAGAUCCAGAAAAUGUUGGGAAGUAGCUGCAAGCAGAAUAGAGGGGAAAGCUUGCUCAUGUUCCCUGCUUAAAAUAAUAGGACAAGAACUUCUGUGUGUGUUACAGGAGAGCAACACUCAUCCCCUAUUGUGUUUUUUUUAAGCACUCAAAAGCAGUCCCUUUGCUUCUGCAAUCCUUAGAGAUUCUUUAAGCAAAAGAAACUUUCUUCUUUCUUCAUUGGCAAUCACACUUUAAAAAAAAAACUCCAAAAACCCUCAUCACUCUGUGCAUGUUCCCUUACUUAGGUAUUUCACAGAGCUGCUUCCCUCCCUGCAACCAUAUACAAGACACCCAUUUCUAUCUGAGGAGACUUCCAAACUGUUGCUGUUUUCGAGUGGGAUUCUACUAUGCACCAGCAAAGUCAAGUUGUUUGAUAGGGAGGUCUUGUGCAAUAAAUCUGCUACCCUAAACAAUAGGACUUUUUGCCAUUAGGAAAGUGACUGGAAAAUGCACUGGAAAGCGUAGAAUAACACUCGCUCUGAUGCAACAUCGUCUAACCUCCCUGUAAACAAAUAGGAAUGAAUGCUCAUUAAGUAGCCAACAUCAUCUAAUCUCCCUGCAAACAGAUCAGGCUGAAGCGUCCCAGUCACUGAUAGCAAUAUCAGUGCACAAUGAGACCAGCAGUUAAGUGCAUAAGCCAUGGGUAGGCAAACUAAGGCCUGGGGGCCAGAUCUGGCCCAAUCGCCUUCUCAAUCUGGCCCACGGAUGGUCCAAGAAUCAGUGUGUUUUUACAUGAGUAGAAUGUGUCCUUUUAUUUAAAAUGCAUCUCUGGGUUAUUUGUGGGGCAUAGGAAUUCAUUCAUUCCCCCCCCCCCAAAAAAAUACAGUCCGGCCCCCCACAGGGUCUGAGGGACAGUGGACUGGCCCCCUGCUGAAAAGGUUUGCUGGCCCCCGGCAUAAGCCCUUAGAGCUGACUCUGCAGCACACAUCUGGCUGGCUGUGAGCUGCAGAGAGUCCAGAGAUCCGGCCCUCGUGAGAUUUUCUCUGUUUGCUAAGUCCCGAGGAGAUCAGCCAAAUUCAAAUUGCAAAUCUUAACAUGCUCAUAACAAAAUUAGCCGUAUUUCCUGAAAGGGUUGAGGAGGUUAGUCAUGCCUCUAAUACUAAGGGGCAUUUGGAAGUAAAAUUUCAGUAUGCAAUUCUUUUACACAGGAUCAGUGUAAACUGGUGCUUCUUUUGGUUAGCCAUUGCAGGCUGCAUGAAGAAAGGACAGUGUUGCUCAUUUUGAAAAGCUGAUGAAUGCAUGGACAAGCGGCAGGGGAGGCUGGGGUCACACCUGCUGCCACCACUCCUGUAUUCUGCAUGUCCCAGUCCUGCUGGGCAUGUGAAUCUUCUGAACCAGAAGUGCUCAGCAGCAGGUAGAAAGCCUGCCAUGUGCAAGACCUUUGCAAAAAUAAAACUAAAUGGCAAUCUGUACAUUGAGGCAUGCUUCAGAUAACGACAUGCAUCCCUGAAGCUGCCAUGUCCUUUUGAAGAGGCUGUCCUUGUGGUUACUACCCACAUGUGGAGCACAAGUCAGAACUGGGUUGCCAGGUCUGAUUCUGCCCUGUGGUUUGGGUAGUUAUGAUUGAAAUCUGGGUGGAUUUCUAAGGAGUUUUUCUUUAUACAAUUCUUUCCCCUGACUCUUCCCAUCUCCAGUAUGUUUUACUAGUUUUCUUUUCCACCCUGCUUCCCAGUACAUUAAUUAAUCUUUUCAGUAAAUAGAAACUGUCAACACAUCUGGCAGAACGUACUUGCCCAGAAAAAGUGAAAACUUUGCUUCCUCUUAAUAGCUGCUUUGCAAAAAGUUAAGAUUGUACAGUGCAAUCCUAUGCAGGUUUCCUCAGAAGUAAGCCCUGUGUUCCAUGCAACUUACUUCGUAGUAAGUGUGUUUAGGAUUGCAGGGUUAUUUUCUCAUUUAAGCACAAAAUACGGUGCUGGAUUAUUCUUUGAAGCAUGUUUUCUUCUUGACAACGGGACAGGGGGGGGAGAGAAAGGGAUAGAGAAGAUAUACAUAAGAACUUGUUUCUUUUCAAAAAUCCUAUUUCUGAAAGAUAACAAAUGAAGCCAUAUUUGUCUGAAGGUUCAUCCACACUUCCACUUGUUCCAUGCUUAGAAAGAAUGAGUCAGAGCAGUUUCCCUCUUGCCCUCUCCUUUCUCAGGGAAAACCUGCUCUUUAGUGAUAAAUUGGAACAAAUGGCAAUCCGCAGACAACCCAAAUUGCUGUUUGCUUCAAUUGAGCGCUAAAGAGCUGUUUUCCCCAGGGGAAAGCAACCAGACAAGAGGAAGUGUGGAUAAGCCCUCAGACUCCACCAAACUGAAGACAGUUGGAAAUAACAUUCCCUGACACAGGGCUGGCCCUAUUAUUAAGUAGAGUGAGGCACUCUGCCAAACUCCACCACAGUCACGUUCCCCCAACCACCUUCCAUAAACUCCAACUCACCACAGCAAUGGUCAGUACAAGGGCUCUUGGGAUUGCAAUUGCAAAGGCUCAUGGGAUUGCUAGGCACUGUUUUUGUGCCUUUUCUGACCUUUUUGCGCUCUUUUAGGGCCAUUUUUAAAUUCAGUUCUGGGUUCAGUGUGAUGCACGUAAGCCCAGUUGCGCACAUAUUGCAUGUGCGUAAAUGGCAGUGGUGUUGCCUGUAUUCAACAUUGCUUCAGGCAGACCCCUUCUUUCCUUAAAGCAAUAUAAGUGAAAAAAGCCAAGAUCCAAACAAUUAGCAAUAAAACACUCCACCCUAUGCUCAUGAGAUCUAUGACCAUACUUGCAUUGCUAAGCUUUAAAACAAGAGUUCAAAGUAUGAGAAAUAUGAGGUCAUUGUAGCACUAAAAUCAAGCCACUGACAAAGAGAUCAGUAGGCUAUUCAAAGGGAAAGUACAAAGGGCUAUCUUUCUGUCAUCUCCCACCAAGAAAGCUUGAUGGUGGCUUACAGGAACUGUGUGAACAUGACUCAAUGAUAACACUUGAAACGGGAUUCAGAACUUUGAACUAAAAAGGGUCUCUUCCCCACCUCCACCCCCCCCUUUUUUUUUCUUUUGGUAUCUCUGGCAGACUUGCCCUCAAUUAUGGUUAGCUGAAAUAGCAAGCAGGGCUUGGCUCUGAAAAGUCUCUUAUCUUGUUCCAAAAAAACACUGAAAUGCCCAGCACAAUCUCGCUAUCUCUCUUUCCUGUUUGGCGGCAUGCUGGGGCUGAUACAUGCAUGACGGGCAGUGGUGUGGGAAGCACCUUCCACAUGGCUUCUUCUCAGGCUCCAACCUAUGGUAAACUCUGGAUCCCACAUGGGCCAGUGAUGUACUGCCACUCAACCAUGAAACAGAGAGCCAGGAGUUUCCAGUCAAGGGACAUGUUAUGUUAACAUAACCCUUAAAACCCUUAAAAAGGGUUUGCUUGUGUGUGUGUUUCUUUGUGGCUGAUUAGCCUGGAGAAGAGGAGGUUAAGGGGUGAUAUGAUAGCCAUGUUCAAAUAUAUAAAAGGAUGUCACAUAGAGGAGGGAGAAAGGUUGUUUUCUGCUGCUCCAGAGAAGCGGACACGGAGCAAUGGAUCCAAACUACAAGAAAGAAGAUUCCACCUAAACAUUAGGAAGAACUUCCUGACAGUAAGAGCUGUUCGACAGUGGAAUUUGCUGCCAAGGAGUGUGGUGGAGUCUCCUUCUUUGGAGGUCUUUAAGCAGAGGCUUGACAACCAUAUAUCAGGAGUGCUCUGGUGGUGUUUCCUGCUUGGCAGGGGGUUGGACUCGAUGGCCCUUGUGGUCUCUUCCAACUCUAUGAUUCUAUGAUUCUAACCUCGUAUUUGGUCAUGGAUUAUGGUGAUGAAUAGAAGCCAUACAAGGGAGAAUCAAGUUUGGGAUCAUGUUCUGGACAAAAAUCCUUCCCCAAGCUAUGAUUUGUGUGGUACUGCUGUUGUCACCAAUACAUCUCUCCCCACUCCCCAAAUAGUAACAUUGAUGUGUGUAUUUGUGACUUUCAUCAGGAGAAAGCAUGGGAAUAAAAGUUGAAGGGAGGAAUUCAACAUUGUGCUCUUCUGAUCAUUCUAUCAGUGCAAACAUUUCAGCUUGCCAGAUGGAACGAUUCCCCCUUUCCUCACCCUGCACACUGUCCUUUUGAGAGACUGCAGUCAAACAUAACUAUGCAUGACUGUUAGCUGGUGCAUGAAGGGCUUAAGGACCACAGAGCUGUGUUGCUAGAUAGGCUCAGUUAGGUCAUGCCCACUCUCCUCCAGAGAGGAAGUGAUGCCUUUCUACCCCCAUGCUUGAAGCUACUUUGCUGUAUUUUCUACCCAGUACUAUUUUGCCUGUAUUAUCCUUGCUGCUGCAUGGAACAAUGUAUGUCUGAGACCUUGAAACUGUAAGUAAAGCAUUUUAAACUUACUUAACAGUGUGUGGCCUGCUCAUGGCAAGAGAGGUAGAAUGAGGUCAGCUGCUGUGUGCAGCUGAAUGAGAUAAAAAUGGUUUAACAACCUAUAUUCCUCAUGCUAUACUGCUGCUCAACUUUUGUGAGUUUAAAACUCUGCUACUCAGGCUCUCUUUGUGCAAGCCCUGCAUUUUGAAUCCAAGCACCCUGCCAUUUAUUUUUGUUGUUUACCCACACACGAGUCCAAAGGGAUUCAGAUCUGGGAGAGGAGCAGGGAGUGCAGGGGAAGGAAAGGGGGGAAGACAUGUACUAGCAGGAGCGCUUGUACUACCUUCUGCUAGUGCACUGAGUUAGUUAAAUCCAGGCCUAGAAACCCACCAGCAUAAUGCUUCCUAUUCUUAUUGCCCCUGACAGAAGGUGAAUUCAUAUAUACAUGUUCACCACUCACUUGAGGCAGUGUUAAGUGGGAGCUGGCAUGUCUGAAACAGCCAGCACAGACCAAACCAUAUUCAGUGCAUUCAUAUAAUCUGAAAGGCAAUGGUUUUCAGUGGUGACAGUAAAUAUGUCCUGCUGCCUGUCCUAUAAGCACUUAAGCUGGAGGCUUGGUCCAGCAGGUCCAGUUUUCUUAUGCUCUUAUCAAGCUGAAUGACACACAGAAUACUUUUAGAUAGACUGUUUAUUCAUAGAAAAUUUGGGUCCCAAAAAGUCCCAAAAGAAAUGUGAUCAAAAAUUGUGCUGGAAAGUGUGGGAGAGCUGGCAAUGUUAUCUAUAACCUCUGUGGAAACAUAUGAGGAUGAAUACUUCUUAGACAGGUGACAUCAGCACAAGUUUCAUUCGAACAUAGUGUGAAUAAACAGUCCUUCUGGAAGCUCCUAUAGUCUAUGUGAUCAUGACUCACAUUUUCCUAAAACUCUGGAUCACAGACCUUGAAAUUUGGUUUAGGUGAAGGCUUGAUGUGUCAGGAGAAAGCAAAAUACCUCCAACAACACUGGACAAAUCAGACAGUAAUCAAUCCUGAGAGGCAGGAGAGGAAUCUGUGGAAGAAACUGGCUCAUCGGUUAGAGUGUGUGAUUUUAUAAUCAUUGCUUAGUGUUGCCAGAGCCAUAUAGGUAGUUAAAAGUUUUAACAUUAGCCAGGCCAGUUCAUGUUCUAGCCAAAGAUAUCUAUUUCUGUGAGUUUUUCAUCCAUUAGCUGCUCUGUGGUUUCUCUUCGGACUCCAAAUUAAAAUAAAAUGCUUUUUGGUCAAAUAUCUUUAAGGGACAUCUCUUCUGCAUUUUCCCCUACGGGGUCUGGAAAAGAAACAGAAUUGCUGUUGUUUUUACAUUUUUUCUUCAGCUCUUCUAUGUAGCUGAACUGCCUAUAUGGCUCUGGCAAUGAUAAGAAAUGAUGAUAAAAUCACAUGCUCUAGUCAAAUGAGCCAGUUUCUUCCACAGGAUCCUGUUCUGCUCUCUGAUGACUGUAUGAGUUGUUCAAUGUGUCCCUGUAGCAGUGCUCCAAAUGUUAAUGCACACUCAGUUCACGUACCAUAAACUCAUCAUCUGCUCCUUUCUCUUCCUAACAAUACAAGUAAUUUGCUUGUGUUGAAAAAGCUACCAGAGACAGAGCUGAUGUGCGAUGAAGACAGGAAGCAGCCAGGCUAUCGUGAAAUAUUUCUGCUACUUGGUGCAAAGUUUGGCCCUCUGCGUGAAAAGAAAUGUAAUAGUACUGAAGUACUUUUAAGAGACAAUAACCAUUUUAAUUAGCAUUUUUAGAGCUCCACCUAUAAUAUCUCAGUAACAUUUACAUCUCCCUGAAAUAGGUUAGCAAUCUUAUGUUCACUUUUAGCAGUGCUAAAAUCGGCCCACUGACAUUUGCAGCAGUGGAGACAGGAAGAGUUCAAUGACGGUUAUUACUGACAUUCUUAGAAGGUUUGAGCCUGGAGGUUUAAAGGCGUGUGAAUAGGAAUCACUGUUUGAAUUUGAAUAAAGGCCCAGUAUGUUUCAUGUUCGUGGUGUACCCUGCAACUAGAUAGAUAGAUAGAUAGAUAGAUGAGAUGAUAAUUAGUUAGUUAGUUACAGUGGUACCUCGGGUUACAUACGCUUCAGGUUACAUACGCUUCAGGUUACAGACUCCGCUAACCCAGAAAUAGUACUUCAGGUUAAGUACUUUGCUUCAGAAUGAGAACAGAAAUUGUGCUCCGGCGGCGUGGCAGCAGCAGGAGGCCCCAUUAGCUAAAGUGGUGCUUCAGGUUAAGAACAGUUUCAGGUUAAGAACGGACCUCUGGAACAAAUUAAGUACUUAAGCCGAGGUACCACUGUAGUUAGAUGAUAGAUAGAUAGAUUAGAUAAACAUUUCCAACUCUGUGACCAUCUGCAGCCCAACAAGGCAAAUAGAUCUCUCCACCUCCUGCAUAUCACCCGGCCUGCCAGUCAUAGUUCACAAUUAUGUCUACUUUCUCUCGAUUGAAUUGCAGUAGCCUCAUCCAUGCUGAUCGCCGAAGAAUUGAUGCUUUUGAAUUAUGGUGCUGGAGGAGACUCUUGAGAGUCCCAUGGACUGCAAGAAGAUCAAACCUAUCCAUUCUUAAGGAAAUCAGCCCUGAGUGCUCACUGGAAGGACAGAUCCUGAAGCUGAGACUCCAAUACUUUGGCCACCUCAUGAGAAGAGAAGACUCCCUGGAAAAGACCCUGAUGUUGGGAAAGAUUGAAGGCACAGGGAGAAGGGGACGACAGAGGACGAGAUGGUUGGACAGUGUUCUUGAAGCUACUAACAUGAGUUUGACCAAACUGUGCGAGGCAGUGGAAGAUAGAGCCUGGCGUGCUCUGGUCCACGGGGUCACAAAGAGUCGGACACAACUAAACAACUAAACAACAACAACAUCCACGCAGAGUCCUUGUAUCAGAGGCAUCAGCUCCUGGGAGCCGAGCCCUUUUCUGCCCCCUCAAUAUUUUUGGGGUAGAGGCUGGGCCCCCCAAUGCCCCAAUGCCCAGAGCCCAGUGAGGCAUGGCUCCAGUGGCCUGCUCCUUCUCCUCCUCCUGCCAUGGAGGGAAAGGAGGGUUGAAGCAGCCUCCCACUGGUGGUGGCGCCAGGAGGCAGAGGAGGAGCCACUGGUCACUGAAGCUGCAUGGCUGCUGUUUUCAGCUCUGCCCCUGAUUCCUCCUGAUGUCCUGAUAUCACGCACCAGUUGUCAGGUCGUCCACUUGUGUGUGAUGUCACACAUGCGACAUUGGCCUCCCCCGCAAUCACCCUUGCAAGCUGGCGCCUCUGCCUUGUUUGAAUCAUGGGCUUUGGCAGAAGCCCAAUCAUGCUGACAGCUGAUGAUAGCUCUGCCUAGUAUUACUGGGGGGAAAGCCAUUGGUCAGUGGAAGAGCAUCUGCUUUGCAUACAUAUGAUUCCAGGUUCAAUCCCCAGCACUUCUAGGUAGAGCUGAUAGUGGCUUCAGUCUGAAAUCCUGGCCAGGCCCUGUCAGUCAGCAUACAUAAUACCAAAACAGAGCUGGGACUAAUGUCCCAAUAUAAAGCAGCUUCCUCUGUUCAUACACCUCUAAUAUGGUAAUACUGGUAAUAAUUUCCAGCCCUUUUCUUGUCUCUUCCUUUGUCUUUUCUGUUUGCACCAUUGAUCAUCACUGUGGCUUGCCAAUUAUAAUCUGUAUAACCAUUUUCUGGAUCUUACUAUAUUUAACUUCAUCUCUCUGGUGAGACGCAUCCAUCGGAACGUGAUUUCAUCAGUGACACUUAAUUGAGAAGAGAUCACUGAAGAGUUCUCUGCAAACACUUUAAUGUCUAUAAUAUCCACCCAAUAAAUGUUCUUUUAAAAGAAUGAGGCAUGUAGAAGUUUCUGCCCAAAAUAAAAAGUUAAUGUAGCAUCUGUUCCACAGGACUCAAGAUCAGACAAAAUGCAAUAAAUUUUGAGUAAUAAGCAUAAUAGCAGGACAAACAAUCAGCAUUCGACAGAUGUGGUGAGCGUGUGAUCCAUUCGGUAUGUUUUCCCCCAGCUGAAAACAUUGGUAAAGCCAAUAAAGGAAUUAGAGGCUUCUGAUGUCACUACCCUAGAAUAUUGUUAUGAGUAAUGUCAACAUUAUCUUUCUUGUUACACUGCUCUCUUGAUUAGUAACAUCACACUUCAGAACACCAAAAACACCAGAGCCAUUAGCACCAAGAGGAUUUAUUAUACAAUUAAUUUGCUUCUGCUGUAUCCAUAUUAUGUCGUCCCC